rnacentral:misc_RNA from 1 species
UUGUUAAAUUUAACAAAGAGCCGCGGAAAAGUAAUUUAUAGUCCUUUCACUUAAACGAGUUCUCUUCACUGUUUAGAUGAAAACUGUAUGUCAAAGUAUAAAAUAGAAUAAUAACUCUUUCAUUAACUCUGUUCCACAUUGAUAAUUCACAUUUCAUUCUCAACCUGUGAGAUCACGCCAGGAGAAAUAUGUCUUCCAUUCAUUUCACAGGUAACAAUAUACAUACAGAUCUAUACAUAUCGUGAUCAGCAUCUAUUCAGUCUGGAUCCUAGUCAUGCAUGACUAGUGUUUGCUGAUGCGCGAUCGAUCGCAUUUCGCAAUUAGCAAUGCCACCACGACGAAUGUUGUAUUGUAUUCAAACGAUUUAAGCCUUGGUUGGCACUUUCACGGCUGCUGUCUCGUGACGAAAAAGAAGAAAGACCAUUCAACGAGGAAUUUUUGCGACGCAGCCAUAAAUCGUGAGCAGGCUUUCGCAAUUUUACCUAUCGGUCAACGAAGAGAUACACUUCCAGAGAAGUCUUAAUCAUCUUCUCGCAAAAAGAGGAAAGAAAAAAAGGAUGAAAUAAAAAGGAAGGACUCGUAGCUAGGAAUACCAGUAGACAAGUGACAUAUGAUUAAUUCAAGCAGCCAUGACGCGACGUCCAGUUUAGCUUCGGACCGCGUAACCGUGGCUAAAGCAUAAAUAAUGAUCUCGUGUCUUUAAUCCCACAUGGUAUUCAGCUUGGCAUGGCGGUUGUAAAUAAAUAAAUAACCGCGCUCGUUACAAAGCUGAAGCAUCAGCUGGAUACUGAUGGUAACGCCGCCUUAAUUGUAACUGAUAUCGAUCAUCCUUUAAAUUGAUAACCCUAUGUAUGUUUUCUUUAUUGCAUCAACAGUUCAAGUGCGACUCUCUUUUGUUCGUUACGCUAACGAAGGCCAUCGACGAUCCACCGAGCAAGAGGAUAAGGUCAAUUGAUUAUUCGUGAUUGAUUUAUCGAGCUGUGUCACUCCUCUAGCUGAUUGACGACACGAAACGCAAUCGUAAUGAUUUUCUUAUUUAGUUAUGCGAAAAAUUAGAUUAUCGGCUCGCUUUAGAACUAAUUGAUUCGAACGAACGAGAUCCUAUUGGACUAUACAAACUCGUUCUAUUUCCAACCAAUCCCAGCACUUAUCAAAAUGUCAAUGCGGCAAGACACGCACGUUCCUCGAUAGCCUGUUCCCACGAGACACGUGUUUUUCCAGAUUACACGAGUCUCUACACGAGAUUUCGCUCGUUCUUCACGACGUACUCAAACAUCGUUCUACGCAGUCGGAACGAGCGCUCAAAGGUCGCACGAAGAUACGAGCCUCUGUAAAAGCGUAAAUCUGCCGGAUCUAGAGGUUUCCCGUUCCCCUUUGACUGAUUCGUCGAGGACGGGACGCUUUAAAUCGCAGGUGAAACCUUCCUGAAUACCAUUAGCUCGUCUGCAGUCGAGAAACCGCGAUAUACGCGGUUAUAUCUCACGAUGACAACGAGCCUAGUUAAGAUCAUACCCAUGUACGCCCUUUUGUACAUCUUCGUUCAUACCGCCUUGUGUUAAGACAAUUGUUGAUAUCAUACAAAACGUGAUACAAUAGGAUCUCGAUUAUCCCAAUUAAU